CCCUGCUCCUCGCGUUGACCGCUCCAGCGCCCUGGCCUGGGUCACCUCUGCUUCGGCCCAGUGGCUCCCCUCCGUCGCGCGCGAGGGCUGCUGCUGGCAAGGCCCAGCGCCCUCUUCCAGCCUCCCUCUCGACCGGACCGGUCCAUGGCCCAUGGUGAGAAUGCCCCCAGCGCCCAUGUCCUGUUUCGGCCUGUAGCUCUAAUUCGGCCCGUGACUUGUUUUUUUUCCUGUGCUGUGAUUUUGUCAUUAUAUCCUGAACAUGCUUAUUACAGAAAUGCCCCUGUUUUAAACUACUAAUAACUAUUUAAUCAUGCAUCCAAAUAAAACAUGUCAUAUAUGUAACAUGCUUAGAAUUUUAUCUAGUUUCACAAUAUCCCAUUUUCAUCCAUGUUUAAAAUGUUUAAAAUGCGGUUUGUUUAAAUUUGUAUAAAUGUCAUGCUAAAAUGAUUUAUUUCAUAACUAAAUAACCGUAGCUCGGUUUUAAAUAAACUUUAUAUGUAAAUGGGGUGGAAAAAUGCCUAGUUUAAUAUGAUGCACUCAUCUUGCAUGUUUAACAACUCUAAAAUAUGUUUUAGGGCAGAACAGUACCAAAUUCAUAAUUUGCACAUGAGGAUUUUCCGGAAUUGUUGUUUGUUGUUCCGGCCUCAUUUAAACUUGCCUAGAUAGGUAGUUUUCAUAUACUUCACCCCUUGCCAUGUUUAACAACAUUUAACAUUGUUGGGUACCUAACGAGAUUAAACUAAAUAUGUCAAUGUGGUGUUUUGUCAAUAUGCAACUCGUUGCAUAUUGAGCUCCACUUAAUUUGUAGUGUUGUUCGUUGCACUUUGCCAUGCCAUCUCUCUUUUAAACCGGACAUGCAUCAUACUUGUUUGUGCAUCAUGUCAUGUUUAUGCUUGUGCAUUUACCAUGUUGUUUGUUUCUUUCCGGUGUUGCUUCUUAGUUCCGGUAAUGUUGCGAUUGUGAGGAUUCAUUCGACUACUCCCGUUCGUCUUCUUCAUGGACUCAUUCUUCUUCCUUGCGGGAUUUCACGCAAGAUGACCGCUACCCUGGAUCUCACUACUAUCAUUGCUAUGCUAGUUGCUUCGUUCUAUUGCUAUGUUGCGCUACCUAUCACCUGUUUAUCAAGCCUCCCAAAUUGCCAUGAACCUCUAACCUUUGACACCCUUCCUAGCAAACCAUUGCUUGGCUAUGUUACCGCUUUGCUCAGCCCCUCUUAUGGCGUUGUUAGUUGCAGGUGAAGUUGAAGAUUGCUCCAUGGUGGACAUGAUUAUGUUUGGGAUAUCACAAUAUCUCUUAUAUUAUUAAUGCAUCUAUAUAUUUGGUAAAGGGUGGAAGGCUCUGCCUUAUGCCUGGUGUUUUGUUCCACUCUUGCCGCCCUAGUUUCCGUCAUACCGGUCUUAUGUUCCCGGAUUUUGCGUUCCUUACGCGGUUGGGUGAUUUAUGGGACCCCCUUGACAGUUUUCUUUGAAUAAAACUCCUCCAGCAAGGCCCAACAUUGGUUUUACCAUUUGCCUCACCAUCACCUACAUUUCCCUUGGGAGUAAUUAACCCAAGUGUCAUCUUUAUUUUAGCCCCCCGGGCCAGUGCUUGUCUAAGUGUUGGUCCAAACCAAGCGAUGUUCGGCGCCCCCUGGGCAACCAGGGUCUAUGCCAACCCGUCGUCUUGCUCAUCCGGUGUGCCCUAAGAACGAGAUAUGUGCAGCUCCUAUCGGGAUUUGUCGACACAGCGGGCGGUCUUGCUGGUCUUGUUUUACCAUUGUCAAAAUGUCUUGUAAACCGGGAUUCCAAGUCUGAUCGGGUCUUCCUGGGAGAAGGUAUAUCCUUCGUUGAUCACGAGAGCUUAUCAUGGGCUAAGUUGGGACACCCCUGCAGGGUAUAAUCUUUCGAAAGCCGUGCCUGCGGUUAUAGGUAGAUGGGAAUUUGUUAAUGUCCGGUUGUAGAUAACUUGACACCAGAUCCGAAUUAAAAUGCAUCAACCACGUGUGUAGCCGUGAUGGUCUCUUUUUCGUGGAGUCUGGGAAGUGAACACGGUUUUGGGUUAUGUUUGACGUAAGUAGGAGUUCAGGAUCACUUCUUGGUCAUUGCUAGCUUCACGACCGUUCCUUUGCUCUCUUCUCGCUCUUAUUUGCGUAUGUUGGCCACCAUAUAUGCUUAGUCGCUGCUGCAGCCUCACCACUUUACCCCUUCCUUUCCCUUUAAGCUUUGCUAGUCUUGAUACCCAUGGUAAUGGGAUUGCUAAGUCCUCGUGGCUCACAAAUUACUACAACAACAGUUGCAGGUACAGGUUUAUACGAUGAUCAUAACGCGAGAGUGAUGUUUGCUUGUAUUGGAGUUCUUCUUCUGCUUCUUCUUUGAUCAGGGGAUAGGUUCCAGGUCGGCAGCCUGGGCUAGCAAGGUGGAUGUCGUUUGAGUUUAUGUUUGUGUUUCAUCCGUAGUCGGAUGAUCCUCUAAUGUAUUGUGAUGUUGUAUUCGUGUGGCAUUGUAUGCCUCUUGUAUGUAUCCCCAUCUAUUAUGUAAUGUUGAUGUAAUGAUAUCCACCUUGCAAAAGCGUUUCAAUAUGCGGGUCUAUCCUUGGUGGGACCUUCGAGUUCCUUUUGGAUAGGGUCGCAUAUUGGGCGUGACAGAGAU
rnacentral:lncRNA from 1 species